CUACUCUGGUCUCUCUUCAGAUUGAAUAAAUCUUUUGCCUUUUCUAAAGAUUUUCGUGGAGGGGAACAACCUUGUGUAUUUUCAUGCAUUUCAGCUGUUUGAGUAAUUCAGCUUUGUGUUU